GCCGACCCCAGGGGGAGGCUGCUCUCUCCUAGUCCUCCCAGGAGACAGGCCGAGGGCGGGGCAAAGAUUCAAAGUUACAGCUGCUUACUUUACUUGGAAGCUUCCAGAGGAUGAGGAAGAGAAGCAAUUGGGACCUGCUGCUGUGGCAUUGACGGACUGCUGAGAGGCGCAACCUCCUGCCCAGGAGAGGGAUCUUUGGUGUGAGAGUAGCUGGUGCUGCUAUCCCUGGAAACUCCAGGGCUCCGAGACUGAGGAAAUCAGAGUGGGAACAUCAUAAGAACACAAGUCUUUGGCUACAAUAAGAAUUAUCAACUUCUUUGAUUCAGCAGUCAACAAUGAUCUAGAAUUCUCAAACUUGCUUAGACUGGAAGAUGGAAUCAGCCUCAGCUACCCUUGAGACAGGGGUUUUGAAUGAAAAAG